UAGGGAAUCUUCCACAAUGGACGCAAGUCUGAUGGAGCAACGCCGCGUGAGUGAAGAAGGUUUUCGGAUCGUAAAGCUCUGUUGUUGGUGAAGAAGGAUAGAGGCAGUAACUGGUCUUUAUUUGACGGUAAUCAACCAGAAAGUCACGGCUAACUACGUGCCAGCAGCCGCGGUAAUACGUAGGUGGCAAGCGUUGUCCGGAUUUAUUGGGCGUAAAGCGAGCGCAGGCGGAAUGAUAAGUCUGAUGUGAAAGCCCACGGCUCAACCGUGGAACUGCAUCGGAAACUGUCAUUCUUGAGUGCAGAAGAGGAGAGUGGAACUCCAUGUGUAGCGGUGGAAUGCGUAGAUAUAUGGAAGAACACCAAUGGCGAAGGCGGCUCUCUGGUCUGCAACUGACGCUGAGGCUCGAAAGCAUGGGUAGCGAACAGGAUUAGAUACCCUGGUAGUCCAUGCCGUAAACGAUGAGCGCUAGGUGUUGGGGACUUUCCGGUUCUCAGUGCCGCAGCAAACGCAUUAAGCGCUCCGCCUGGGGAGUACGACCGCAAGGUUGAAAC
rnacentral:rRNA from 1 species